rnacentral:rRNA from 1 species
UACGUAGGUGGCAAGCGUUGUCCGGAAUUAUUGGGCGUAAAGCGCGCGCAGGUGGUUUCUUAAGUCUGAUGUGAAAGCCCACGGCUCAACCGUGGAGGGUCAUUGGAAACUGGAGAACUUGAGUGCAGAAGAGGAAAGUGGAAUUCCAAGUGUAGCGGUGAAAUGCGUAGAGAUUUGGAGGAACACCAGUGGCGAAGGCGACUUUCUGGUCUGUAACUGACACUGAGGCGCGAAAGCGUGGGGAGCGAACAGG